AGCAUAUCAAUAAGCGGAGGAAAAGAAACUAACAAGGAUUCCCCUAGUAACGGCGAGUGAAGCGGGAAGAGCUCAAAUUUGUAAUCUGGCACUUUCAGUGUCCGAGUUGUAAUCUCGAGAAGUAUUUUCCGCGCCGGACCGCAUACAAGUCUGUUGGAAUACAGCGUCAUAGUGGUGAGAACCCCGUAACUGAUGCGGAUGCCCGGUGCUUUGUGAUAUACUUUCGAAGAGUCGAGUUGUUUGGGAAUGCAGCUCAAAUUGGGUGGUAAAUUCCAUCUAAAGCUAAAUAUUGGAGCAAGACCGAUAGCGAACAAGUACCGUGAGGGAAAGAUGAAAAGCACUUUGGAAAGAGAGUUAACAGUACGUGAAAUUGUUGGAAGGGAAACGCUUGAAGUCAGACUUGCUAUUCGGAGUUCAGCCGCAAGGUGUAUUCUUCGAUUUGCAGGCCAGCAUCAGUUUUUGGGGGUGGAAAAUCGUGGUUUGAAGGUAGCAGUUUCGGCUGUGUUAUAGCUUUCCACUGGAUUCAUCUUCGGGGACUGAGGAACGCAGUACGCUUUUUGCAAGGCUCUCGAGCUUUUCGUACUUAGGAUGCUGGUGGAAUGGCUUUAAACGACCCGUCUUGAAACACGGACCAAGGAGUCUAACAUGCUUGCGAGUGUUUGGGUGUCAAACCCGGACGCGCAAUGAAAGUGAAUGGAGGUGGGAUCCGCAAGGUGCACCAUCGACCGAUCUGGAUUUUCUAAGAUGGAUUUGAGUAAGAGCAAUUAUGUUGGGACCCGAAAGAUGGUGAACUAUGCCUGAAUAGGGCGAAGCCAGAGGAAACUCUGGUGGAGGCUCGUAGCGGUUCUGACGUGCAAAUCGAUCGUCAAAUUUGGGUAUAGGGGCGAAAGACUAAUCGAACCAUCUAGUAGCUGGU
rnacentral:rRNA from 1 species